UGAGGUUGGUGUCGCUUCCCGCCCUGCCACAGGCGAGGCUGCGGUUUUGCCGUCCCCCUCCUCGCCUCGGGGGGCGAGCAGCGGCCGAAGCGGUCACUUUCGCCAAACUGCCACCGUCCCGGUGAGGCUCAGCGCCCCCAGCCCUGCCCUGACGCGGAGGGGAAAGCUGCUGUGCCGCGGCGGAGUGCUGUAAACAUGACUAGCCAAAGGAAGACCUUAGAAAACAACUCAAGGAAGCUACGAAGUCUGUUGAGAAAGCAAAGAAGCCAGCUGGACCCGAUUAUGAGAUGGAGGCACAGAGAUUUACCUAACAGUGUCCUAUUGAAGAUUAUGAAGUCAAGAACAGAACCGAGAGGAGACUAGAUCUCUUUAACUCCAUCUCAGGACAAGACAAAAGGUUGGGCCUCCUCCUUUGAUGGAUACAGCACAUGCGAAGAAGAGUUGUUGGACACAUCUGAUCUUGUCCUAUAUUCCUGGGGAGCUUAGCUUGUCUGAUUUAACAACUUUUAAAAAAAUUCUUCUCCAUGUCCUUGAGAAAGAGCAGCUCCAAACUCUGUCUACUGAAAGCAUGUCAGUCUCAAAUCAGAGCAAAAUAACAUACUCCUGCUGUUGUCUAAGCACUGUUGUUAAAUAUUUAGUACUUCACAUUUCUGCUCGUUCUCUCUGUUUUCUGAGUGGUCUUUGCUGGGAUUUGAAGCCAGCUGUGAAGUGUGCUUUGUGCUCUACAUAUGGCCAGGAAUAGCCCAUUCCAUUCCAGAUACAACAGCAGAAGCAAGACCUCUGCUUUUCUGUAGUUCACAAAGACUAUUAUUUGAAUGCUUGUACAAUUUUAUUGUGGGGAAGGAUACAGAGACAAAUAAAAUAAGGAAGACUAUUUGAGGUCAAAAACUUCAAAAAAUUCAGUGGUGCAUAUAUGUACUUGGACGUUUAUUCAUUUAACAUAAGGGAAAAAGUUGGACAAAGCUGCUCAAUUAAUUAAAAAUGCCAUCAGAUUUUAUUUUCAUUAUGAUUUAUACAGAUGCACACCCAAAAUUUCCACUAUUAUUGCUCAGUGCAUGGAAAAGUACCUAUUCCCACUAUAGGCAAAUCUAUAGCUGGCCUCUUGCAAAUCACUUUUUUCUACUAUAAAGAUUUACGUUUUGCCUGAGAGUAUUCUUCAAGCCAUAUGAACUGCUGUAUUCCAGUUCAUGGAGAGCAGCAUUUUGAGAGACUGGGGAACAUAUCAGUAAAAUGCACGAAGAACUUGUUUGCACAUCUGCUAGUUAUUGAAUUGCUCCAUUUGGUCAAGUGAUGGACAGGGAUGUUUUUAUAGUUUGAAGGUGCUGGGCUCAAAUCAUGCUAGCUCGUGGAAAAAAACCAUGUGAUUUUCCUUUUGAGUUGAAAAAGGGGUGGUCUACCCUGUUAGGCCUGUCCUGCAUGGGAAGUGUGCUGUAUCACAGGGCUGGGGCUUUCUUACAGGAGUUUGCAGGCACCAGGACGUGGGGGCUGAGGUGGGAGGACUGGGCACAGAUGAAUUUUCUUGCCACUGAAUGACCCAAGGCUUAGAGUGAGAAGUAACUGCAGGUGGCCCAACAGCAUUGUCUGCUGCACCCACUGAAUUGAAAUCUGAACUUGCUGUUGAGAUGGGAUUUGUUUUGAUAGUUUGUACGUUAGAGAUAGCAGACUAAUAUUAAUUGCUUUUUUGAAAUAUCA